AUACGUAGGUGGCAAGCGUUGUCCGGAAUUACUGGGCGUAAAGGAUGCGUAGGCGGAUAUGUAAGUCAGAUGUGAAAUACCCGGGCUCAACUUGGGUGCUGCAUUUGAAACUGCAUGUCUAGAGUGCGGGAGAGGAAAGUGGAAUUCCUAGUGUAGCGGUGAAAUGCGUAGAGAUUAGGAAGAACACCUGUGGCGAAGGCGACUUUCUGGACCGUAACUGACGCUGAGGCAUGAAAGCAUGGGUAGC
rnacentral:rRNA from 1 species